rnacentral:tRNA from 1 species
UAAUAAGAAACUUUAAGUAGUCAGUUUCGACCUGAAUUAUUGGUAAAUUUACCCUUAUUAA